rnacentral:rRNA from 1 species
CCUACGGGUGGCAGCAGUAGGGAAUCUUCCACAAUGGACGAAAGUCUGAUGGAGCAACGCCGCGUGAGUGCCGCAGGGUUUCGGCUCGUCACGCUCUGUUUUUCUUUAAGAAAGAUAGAGGUAGUAACUGGCCUUUAUUUGACGGUAAUUACUUAGAAAGUCACGGCUAACUACGUGCCAGCAGCCGCGGUAAUACGUAGGUGGCAAGCGUUGUCCGGAUUUAUUGGGCGUAAAGCGAGUGCAGGCGGUUCAAUAAGUCUGAUGUGAAAGCCUUCGGCUCAACCGGAGAAUUGCAUCAGAAACUGUUGAACUUGAGUGCAGAAGAGGAGAGUGGAACUCAAUGUGUAGCGGUGGAAUGCGUAGAUAUAUGGAAGAACACCAGUGGCGAAGGCGGCUCUCUGGUCUGCAACUGACGCUGAGGCUCGAAAGCAUGGGUAGCGAACAGGAUUAGAUAAACGAGUAGUC